rnacentral:lncRNA from 1 species
AUGGUUUCGCACCCAAAGCUUUUCUCCCCGGUCGCCCACUGCUCCGGAGCCCCUCGCCGGGGCGGGUCUGGCUCUUUCCCCGCGGUAUCGCUCGGCUGGGUCUGUCCCUGCGCUGAAAUACCCCCCAGCCCCGCAGCGAGAAAGGACGCUCCGCGGCACCCACGGCCCCGGCAGGAUGGACUGCUCCCCGUGGUGGGUGCUUGUCGCCAUCUCCGCCAUGACCUUGAUCUUCCACGCGCUCUUCUUGGUGAUACUGUACAUGAUACUCAGCAGGAAAAUAGAGCAUCUCCGCGGCGGCAGCAAGGCUGGUGACCAGCCGGCAGUGGAGCCCGAGCGGCCCCCGGCCCCAGCCCCGGCCCCGGCGGGGAACACGGCGCUGC